GGGGGUUUGGCGCAGUUGGUAGCGCGUCUCAAUGGCAUUGAGAAGGCCAGCGGUUCGAAUCCGCUAACCUCCACCA
rnacentral:tRNA from 1 species